GGGGCUGACUGGUUUUGACAGCCAGGGAGUGGAAUUGUAAGCAUGCCGAGUGUUCGUGAGCAGGCCUCGUUAAAAGUCAGCUUUCACAGCCAUUAACUGGCGACAAUUAUUCUUACAGACUUGCUGCUUAAUUUUAGAAAUUAAGCGCGUCUUGUCUCCCGGAAAACCAUUCUCAACGGUGUUCCGGACGAGGCAUCGCAAAUGUUGAGAUAGUCGGGUCAUUGUUCCGCUGAUCCGAUGAAAUAACAGGAACUAAGGAGUCAGUUGGUUUGCCACUGACCGGCCGGCUCCCGACAAUUAACGAGAGGCUAAGCAUGUAGAAACCAUUUUUGCUACUGGUUUGGACGAGGGUUCGAAUCCCUCCAGCUCCACAA
rnacentral:tmRNA from 1 species